rnacentral:rRNA from 1 species
AAUUUUGGACAAUGGGGGCAACCCUGAUCCAGCCAUCCCGCGUGUGCGAUGAAGGCCUUCGGGUUGUAAAGCACUUUUUGCUGGGAAGAAAAGGCGCUGGUUAAUACCUUGCGCCGCUGACGGUACCUGCAGAUGAAGCACCGGCUAACUACGUGCCAGCAGCCGCGGUAAUACGUAGGUUGCAAGCGUUAAUCGUAAUUACUGGGCGUAAAGCGUGCGCAGGCGGUUCGGAAAGAAAGGUGUGAAAUCCCAGGGCUUAACCUUGGAACUGCACUUUUAACUACCGGGCUAGAGUAUGUCAGAGGGGGGUAGAAUUCCACGUGUAGCAGUGAAAUGCGUAGAGAUGUGGAGGAAUACCGAUGGCGAAGGCAGCCCCCUGGGCCGAUACUGACGCUCAUGCACGAAAGCGUGGGUAGCAAACAGG